rnacentral:rRNA from 1 species
CUGUGUUCCUGUACAACUUGCAUUAAAAAAAAAUGCUCUUUGUUGAUUUCUUAGGGAUCGUGAAGAUCUUAUUCGCGUUUUUUUGCACUCGGAAGGGUUAUGAUGACUAUAUAAUAAUCAGACAUAGUACGAUAAGGUAGUAUGUCUAAAGGGAAACAGCCCAGAACAAGAGUUAAUAAGGUUCCAAAAUUAUUGUUAAGUGAAAAUAAGGAAGUUUCAAUCAAAUAUGCCCAGGAGAUAGGCUUAGAUGCGGCCAUUUUUUGAAGACCUCGUAACAGAGCACUGGAUUAGUAAAUUAUUUUUAUAAUUUAUAUUGAUAAAAGCACCAAAAAUUUAACGGAUCUAAACAAUAUACCGAGACCUUGUCCAUAUUUAUUUAUAUAUCUAAGUUGUAUAUUGUAUCUAUGGGGUAGCGGAACAUUGGGCAAAUAUAAGAAUUUUUCUUUUUAAGACUUAAGAUAAUAUAACCCAAGCGACAAUGCUGACAUGAGUAACGAUAAAGGGAAUAAACUAUUCCCUCGCCUAAAACUUAUGGUAUUUACUUAAAGUAACGGCCUCUAAGUUUAUGCACCUAAAGGACUAAACGAUGAGAAAAUCUACUAUCUAUAAUUUUAAAAAAAAAAAAAAAAUUUACUGUCUUGAUUUUUUUUUUUUUUUUAAAUAAAAGUGAAUAAAUAACCUUGGUGAUGAGACUUAUGCGACCGAAGGCGAAGUAUACGGUAAGCCUUUUUUGCUGAAGUUACAAGGUUCUGGAAAAUUUUAGUGGUGCAUCAUGGAUAAUAGGGAGGAAGCAAUAUCCUGCCUAUCAUGGUGUAAAAAGACCGUACCUAGAAACUACCCCCAG